rnacentral:snRNA from 1 species
AUGCUCUCUUCGGCAGCAUAUAUACUAAAAUUGGAACGAUACAGAGAAAAUUAGCAUGGCCCCUGUGCAACGAUGACACACAAAUUUGUGAAGCAUUCCAUAUUUUU